AAUCAACGCUGGCGGCGUGCCUAACACAUGCAAGUCGCACGAGAAAGGGGAGCAAUCCCUGAGUAAAGUGGCGCACGGGUGAGUAACACGUGAAUCAUCUACCUCCGAGUGGGGAAUAACUGAGAGAAAUCUUAGCUAAUACCGCAUAACACUUACGAGUCAAAGCAGCAAUGCGCUUGGAGAGGAGUUCGCGGCCGAUUAGUUAGUUGGCGGGGUAAUGGCCCACCAAGACGAUGAUCGGUAUCCGGCCUGAGAGGGCGCACGGACACACUGGAACUGAAACACGGUCCAGACUCCUACGGGAGGCAGCAGUGGGGAAUUUUGCGCAAUGGGGGAAACCCUGACGCAGCAACGCCGCGUGGAGGAUGAAGUAUCUUGGUACGUAAACUCUUU
rnacentral:rRNA from 1 species